CAUAGCGACUAUCGUGGCAUAUCAAUAAGCGGAGGAAAAGAAACUAACAAGGAUUCCCUUAGUAACGGCGAGUGAAGCGGGAAGAGCUCAAAUUUGAAAUCUUCAAGGUUCUACCUUGACGAAUUGUAGUUUAUAGAAGUGUUUUCUGUUAGUAGAGUGGCAAAAGUUCUUUGGAAUAGGACAUCAUAGAGGGUGAGAAUCCCGUAUUUGGUCAUUCUUUCUAGCUUUGUGAUACACUUUCAACGAGUCGGAUUGUUUGGGAAUGCAGUCCAAAAUGGGUGGUAAAUUUCAUCUAAAGCUAAAUAUUGGCGAGAGACCGAUAGCGAACAAGUACCGUGAGGGAAAGAUGAAAAGAACUUUGAAAAGAGAGUUAAACAGUACGUGAAAUUGUCAAAAGGGAAGCGUUUGACACCAGUGUUGUUUUUCCGAAAAUCAAUUACGAAUGUUUUAUUUUUGAGGAGUUAUGACUUCAUCGGCUUGCUUCUCUCUUUAUGAAACUUUCUUAAUGCACUUUUCGGUUAACAAGUCAACAUCAAUUUCUUUUGUUGUAAAAGGGUAUGAGGAAGGUGGCUUUCUUUUCGGAGAAAGUGUUUAUAGCCUUGUACCUCUGCAAUCGGAGAGAUUGAGGUCUGCAGCGUAGAUCCUUCGGGGUUAGAUACAUUUGUGCUAAGUUAUAGCUUUUCAUAGACAACUUGUUGACUAUGUUUAGUCUUGUAGGCUUACUCGCUUACUGCUAUUUUACCUACGCUUAGGAUGUUGACGAGACUGUCGAUCUC
rnacentral:rRNA from 1 species